rnacentral:rRNA from 1 species
UACGGGAGGCAGCAGGGGGAAUAUUGCACAAUGGGCGCAAGCCUGAUGCAGCCAUGCCGCGUGUAUGAAGAAGGCCUUCGGGUUGUAAAGUACUUUCAGUCGUGAGGAAGGUGUUAAGGUUAAUAACCUUAGCAAUUGACGUUAGCGACAGAAGAAGCACCGGCUAACUCCGUGCCAGCAGCCGCGGUAAUACGGAGGGUGCGAGCGUUAAUCGGAAUUACUGGGCGUAAAGGGCACGCAGGCGGUUAAUUAAGUUGGAUGUGAAAUCCCCGGGCUUAACCUGGGAAUGGCAUUCAAGACUGGUUAGCUAGAGUCUUGUAGAGGGGGUAGAAUUCCAUGUGUAGCGGUGAAAUGCGUAGAGAUGUGGAGGAAUACCGGUGGCGAAGGCGGCCCCUGGCAAAGACUGACGCUCAUGUGCGAAAGCGUGGGGAGCAAACAGGGAUUAGAUACC